rnacentral:rRNA from 1 species
UACGUAGGUGGCAAGCGUUGUCCGGAAUUAUUGGGCGUAAAGCGCGCGCAGGCGGAUUGGUCAGUCUGUCUUAAAAGUUCGGGGCUUAACCCCGUGAUGGGAUGGAAACUGCCAGUCUAGAGUGUCGGGGAGGAAAGUGGAAUUCCUAGUGUAGCGGUGAAAUGCGUAGAUAUUAGGAAGAACACCAGUGGCGAAGGCGACUUUCUGGACGAGAACUGACGCUGAGGCGCGAAAGCCAGGGGAGCGAACGGG